rnacentral:rRNA from 1 species
GUGUAAUCAAUAACUGGAGUGAAGUCGUAAAGAGGAAGCCGUAUCGGAAGUUGCGACAGGGGCACCUCCAUUAUAAGGAGA